rnacentral:rRNA from 1 species
UACAGAGGUGGCAAGCGUUGUUCGGAAUUACUGGGCGUAAAGGGCGCGUAGGCGGCCUUGUCAGUCAGACGUGAAAUCCCCAGGCUUAACCUGGGAACUGCGUCUGAUACUACAAGGCUGGAGUGCGGGAGAGGGAUGUGGAAUUCCAGGUGUAGCGGUGAAAUGCGUAGAUAUCUGGAGGAACACCGGUGGCGAAGGCUGCAUCCUGGACCGACACUGACGCUGAGGCGCGAAAGCUAGGGGAGCAAUCGGGAUUAGAUACCCCGGUAGUCCUAGCCCUAAACGAUGAGUGCUUGGUGUGGCGGGUAUCGAUCCCUGCCGUGCCGAAGCUAACGCAUUAAGCACUCCGCCUGGGGAGUACGGUCGCAAGGCUGAA